rnacentral:rRNA from 1 species
UACGGAGGGUCCAAGCGUUAUCCGGAAUCAUUGGGUUUAAAGGGUCCGUAGGCGGUCUUGUAAGUCAGUGGUGAAAGCCCAUCGCUCAACGGUGGAACGGCCAUUGAUACUGCAAGACUUGAAUUAUUGUGAAGUAACUAGAAUAUGUAGUGUAGCGGUGAAAUGCUUAGAGAUUACAUGGAAUACCAAUUGCGAAGGCAGGUUACUAACAAUAUAUUGACGCUGAUGGACGAAAAGCGUGGGUAGCGAACAGG